AGACAGGAAAAACAGGCAGGAAAAAACAAGCUGUGAAAGAAAGCAAGGAGCUCAAAGGGCUCAAAGGUGAGUACUGCACACUGGUUCUGGGAGUAAUUCCUCUCAAUCUUGGUUUCUGAACAAGAACUCAGUGAAAAAAUAAAGUCAGCAAGAUUCUUGGGGGUGGUAAAUAAUUAUACUUUCUGUGGUUAGUUAGGGAGAACAUCUGUGGGCUUUUGGGUUAAAGGACCACUGACAUGAAAACCAGGGCAGCCUCUCCCAAGAAUACUAUGUUCCUCCUUGUCUUCUUCAUUCACAGAGAGGAUUCCCUUCAUCUGAGAAAGCCAGUUUUCAUCCAAAGGAUCCACCUCACACAAGUCCAGGAACUCUGGGGAGCCACGUCGAACAUGGACCUCAGAGUUACACAGCCAGGGGACAACGGAACUGAGGCAUGCAUUCUCCAGUCCAGUCAGUAGUAGAAGGCUUUUCUGCGGUGGGGAAUGGAACCCAGGCCAAGUGGGUUCUAGCUGCAGAGAAGGGGAUACACAACCUUAGGUAAGAGGGUGCACAUCCCAGCCAUUGGAUGUGGGGCUGGAGGAAGACAUUCGGCUGGGCUCCUACCGUUUAUACUUAUUAUACCGUUACGGUCAGUAAGAGACAGGUGGUGAUGACGUUGUCAGUUAAGAAUAGCCAUCAUUUGCUUAGUUAAGUGUGGAAUUGUCCUGGGAGUCUAACUUACUAAGUUAAUUUCACACUUAACUCCCACAGCCUGUCCACACCUAAUUUCAGGAUAUAUGUCAAAAGGAAAGAAUAAAUGUGAUAUACAGUUAUAUAAGUUACAUCAGUGGUCCCCAGCCUUUUUUGGCACCAGAAAUGGGUUUCCUGGAAGACAAUUUUUCCACAGAUGGCAGGGAGGAUAGUUGCAGGAUGAAAUUUUUCCACCUCAGAUCAUCAGGCAUUAGAUUCUCAUAAGUGCAUGUAACCUAGAUCCCUCACAUGUGCAGUUCACAUUGGGGUUCGUACUCCUAUGAGAAUCGAAUGCUGCAGCUGAUCUGAUAGGAGGCGGAGCUCAGGUCAUAAUGCUCACUCAGCCACCACUCACCUCCUGAUGUGCAGCCCGGUUCCUCAGAGGCCACGGGCAAUACCUGUCCAUGGCCCAGGGAUGGGGACCACUGAGUUACAUUAUAUAUACUAUUAAUAUCUGGCUGUACCAAAAAGUAUUGUGAAAAUAUUUAUAGUCCUGUUUGAGGGUCUUUUCUGAAGCUUUCCAUUUACAAAUAGAAAAGAAUAUUAAGGCCAGGCACGGUGGUUCAUGCCUGUAAUCACAACACAUUGGGAAGCUGAGGCAGGAGGAUCCUUUGAGCCCAGGAGUUUGAGACCAACCUGGGAAACAUGGCAAAACCCUCUGUGUACAAGAAAAUACUAAAAUACACCAGGUGUGGUGUCACAUGCCUGUGGUCUCAGGUACUUGGGAAGCUGAGGUGGGAGGAUUGCUUGAGCUCAGGAAGUUGAGGCUGCAGUGAGUUGUGAUUGCACCAGCCUGGGUGAUAGAGUGUCACCC
rnacentral:lncRNA from 10 species